UACGUAGGGCGCAAGCGUUGUCCGGAAUUAUUGGGCGUAAAGAGCUCGUAGGCGGUCUGUCGCGUCGGCUGUGAAAACCCGAGGCUCAACCUCGGGCCUGCAGUCGAUACGGGCAGACUAGAGUGCUGUAGGGGAGACUGGAAUUCCUGGUGUAGCGGUGAAAUGCUUAGAUAUCGUCAAGAACACCGAUAGCGAAGGCAGCUUGCCAAGCAACAACUGACGCUCAGGCACGAAAGUGCGGGGAUCAAACAGG
rnacentral:rRNA from 1 species